AUUUGCCUACGGGGCGCAGCAGUGGGGAAUAUUGCACAAUGGGGGAGACCCUGAUGCAGCGACGCCGCGUGAGUGAAGAAGUAUUUCGGUAUGUAAAGCUCUAUCAGCAGGGAAGAUAAUGACGGUACCUGAGUAAGAAGCCCCGGCUAACUACGUGCCAGCGGCCGCGGUAAUACGUAGGGGGCAAGCGUUAUCCGGAUUUACUGGGUGUAAAGGGAGCGUAGACGGCAUGGCAAGUCUGAAGUGAAAGCCCGGGGCCCAACCGCGGGACUGCUUUGGAAACUGUUAAGCUGGAGUGCAGGAGG
rnacentral:rRNA from 1 species